GUUUCCUUGAGCUGUUUGGCCUUGAUUGCCAAGUGCGACUUGACAAGCAGAAAGCCCACUCCAGCACAAAUGCUGACAGUUUUGCCAAACCCGGGUGUCCCUGUGAUGUACUUAGGUUUCGCAAAGGGCAGCCCCAGCCUGGGAUGAUCAUCCCUGUUGCUAAGAAAUACGAAAUCUAUGAGAUCCUUCGUCACCUGUCGACCCAUGUAAUCAAACUCUCCCAAAUUUCCACUCAUGUCCGGAGCCAACAGCCGGCACCACGUUUCGUUGCUCGUUAAGCUCUCCAUUGUCAGAUGCCCAAAACAUUCCUCCAAUCUCACGGAGAAUGCCCAAGCUUCCUCGAACUCAUCCAUGACCUUACUUCUUUUCUCUGUAACCACAGAUGGGAACUGUGCGAAACGCUUACCGCUUCCGCUGAGCUCCGCCAUAGCUUUAGGUUUAGAAACCAUGAGCCCUAAAUUAUCUUUUUCACAGGUUUGGGUUCGAGUCUUCGUGAAGACAAUGCCUUUGUGUUAAAGUCGUGUACUCUAGUAACCCUGUCACAUUGCCACUUUAAUAAUCCCUAACUUGGGACCCAGCAGAGGCCUAGAUUUACCAGUCGAGUAAUAUACAAUGGCAAUACAUCUUUCGGAUCUAAUCCGAAGGACCAUUAAAGGACAUGAUGGUUGCAGUGUUGGUGGAUUUUGAAUCAGCAGCCUCCAGUAUCAGAUGCUUGGUGGUUUCUCGAUGUGAGUUGCCAUUGUCUCCUGCAGCCCGAGUUUUUCGUGUAUUCUAAAUGUCAUCCAAAAUUGCAUCCAUAUGCAAUCUUGUUUGUCUGGUGGUUCAUCCUCACUGCUAAAUUCUAUACCAAUGUCUUCCAUCCUAGGAUCAGUGAUGCUCCGAUACCAUAUUGUGAAAGCAAUCAUAACCUAAAUCUCUCUUCUCUAUGAGCAGUUGUGACCCUAGAUGACCUACCACUUAACAUAUCAUAUGAGGACCACAAAUCCUCAAAAAUACCCACGCAACUUGAUAGAAAGAGGCAAGUACGGGAGGAGGCGAGCAAGAAAACUGUUACAUAGGCUUUACAGGAAAAGGAUUGAACAUUGUUGGAGAGUUUGAUUUAAGAUCCAUAAAUAAAGCUAAACAAGUCAGGGACGGAUCACUUUAAUAACAGUAUACAUACAGGAAAAUGACAGCUCAAAAUAUUAUUAUUCAUAUCCAUUACAAAAGUUUUCUCAUUUGCAAAAAAUCUUUACAGUUUACUAGAUAUUCUGUUAUAUCAAAUUUAAUGAUCGAUUCAAUUUAAUAAAUUAAUUAGUGUUCAAUAAAUCUCAAUAUGAUAUAAAUUAAGUACCAAUAAUAUACACAAAGAAUGUCAGCCUAUUAAGAAAAUGUUACUAGGGUAUACAAUCCCAUUACCUCAUAUAAAAUGGUAAAUUGGCAGAAGUGAUUAUAUACUUAAGAUAAAAGUUUUAAGUAUUGAAAUGAAUUAUAAUUAUUAUUCAUUUUAUUUGAAAAAUUUUUAUUUUUUAGCUAAGUUAAAAGUAAAAAAUUGUUACUCAACUUGAAGAUAUUCCCAAUCAUUAUUAUAUCAACUUUAAGCACAUUUUGUUAUUUGAUAAAUCUAAAUAUCAAACUUAUUUUAUUUGUAAUAUAGAUAGUUUUAUAAAAACUUUUAAAUAAUUAAACUUACCAUUUAUGAUGCUUAUGUAACCAAGAAGAAAUAUCUAUUCCAAAAGUAUGAAUAAAUAUUUGAAUUUUUUGUUCUAAAGUUUAUAAGUUUAAUGAAAAUUUUAUUUUUCUUAACUUGUUCAUUAUUUAUAUAAAAAUGAGAAAGAGACAUACAAAACAAAACAGUAAAAAAAUAAAUUAAAGAUCCAGUUAUUCAAAAAUACUAUACCAAAAAGUUCUUGAGUGUCACUAAUCAUGGUGAUAGUGUUAUUGAUAACACAACAAAAAAACAAUUGUUAAAAUAUUCUACUGUCAUAUUGGUAAAUAAUCAGAAUAUUCCUUGAUUAUAAAAAAAUAUAAAGUGCUAAAAGAUGAUGUUUGUUAUUCUUAGCUUCAUUAUAUUUUACCACUACUUAUUAAGGAGGUUUUUUCUGUGUUUUGACUAAUUCUAAAAUGUUUGAAAUAAAUCUUAUAGUGAUAGAAAUUCAUUUAUUAGUUAAAAAUUACAAAAAUAUGAUGAAAAUUACUACUAGUUUAAGAUUUUUUAAUAAAAAAUAUUAUUAGAUCAACAUAGCAUUCUCUAAUAAGGAAAUAAAACAAUUUCAUCAUAAAUCUUAAAAGAUAUAUCUCAAGCAUUAAUCUCACUAUAAUCUAAACUCUUAAUUACCUUAAAUAGAUAAGUGAGAGUAAAUUAACAAACAUUAAAAUUACUAUAUUAAUACCAUUUAACCUAUUUGGAAAUAAUGUAGUACACGUGAUUAGUGUAAUUAUUAUAGUAAAUAGAGAUUUAUAUAUAUAAAAAACACAACACUAAGUUUUGAUUAUUUUUGGUUUUGUUUUAUUUUAAAUGUUAAUGCAGGAUUUCGACCAGUCAAACUCGUCUUGGAAUUUCCUCUGGUCAAAUAAGGAUAAAUCCAACUUCUGCUAUGUUAGCAUCUCCUGAUAAAUCCAACUUCUGCUAUGUUAGCAUCUCCUGAUACCACUGUUAUUUCGAUUGUUGUUUCACAGGGUGCUGCAGUUACUCCUACGCUCACUCCUCAACCAGUUUCUGGAUCUGGAGCUGCUGGGACGUCCACUCAUGCUCAAGCCACUCCAGACUCCAAGGAUGACCUGGCUGUUCUUCUGAACACCGAUAGCUCUUCGGUGAUUCCUACUUCGGAAGGCACUUCUGAUCUCGCUGAUGCUAUCACGAGCUGCUAUGACAGCUCCAAGAAAUCAUUCUUGGAGAGUCUUAACAGCCAGGCAUCAGAGAUCAAAGCCAUUUCGAAGUUGGAGGAAGUUCUGAGGGAUAUCCGCAGAAUUGGAGAGUGAAGCAGCCUAAGCUCAAGACCAAGGAUCCCGAUGUACAAAAGGAACUCAAUGAGCUAGCUGGCUUUAAGCACACGGAGUACCAACUCACGCUCCUCAGUCUGCUGCUUGACGCUCGGAAAAAGGAACUUGUGAUUUCUUCCGGGCAGGUCAAGAAUGCUUGCAGGACAUUCGGCGAUCAUCUCUUGGACAUCGUUCUAACUGCCCUACAAGACAUCUCCAACCCAAGCUCCAGAAGUCUUCUUCAGCGCGAGCUAGCGACGAUGGUUUAUGCCAAGAGAGAUCUCUUUGUAAAAGACGUCGUCUUUGCUCAAGCUAACAGAAGGCUUCAGGAACAGAAUCGGCAGAACGCUGAGGAUGCUCGCCUGGCGGCACAGGACAAGGCAAAGUUGCUAAGCUGAAGAGUGCUCCUCUGAAAGACACAAAAGGAAAAGAAAAAGCCCAGUUGUGCCCUAGGAUGAUGUCAUAGAUUUGAUUUGAGAAGGCAAUUACCCGCAAUGGUGAUAGGUUCUGAGGUGCAACGGGAAGUGUGCUUGAUGUACCGACAAUGCAGAUGUCGUCUUGUUAUCGCCAUAAAAUACACGAAAAAGGAGACAAUGGCAACUCACAUCGAGAAACCACCGAGCGUUUGAGUCCACCGAGAGAUUGGCCUCUGGAUCGAUACUGGAGGCUGCUGAUUCGAAAUCCACCAACACUGCGACCAUCAUGUCCUUUAAUGGUCCUUCGGAUUAGAUCCGAGAGAUGUAUUGCCAUUGUAUAUUACUCGACUGAGCAAGGGUAAUGCGACCAUCGCUAGAGCAGGGUCUCAUUCUCCAACUUGCUAUGAUAAGCCAAUGCGCAAGAUCUGGAUCACGGGCCUGGACGGGGAUUGCAGAACAUGGAUGUAUUCAAGAUGGCAAGAUGCCCAUGACUACACAGAAACAGAAACGAGAGCAGGAUCACGAGCAACAAAAGAUACAAGUACAGAAUCCAGCACAGGAUGGAAGACCCUAUACUGGAGGCUAGAAACUAGAGUAACUUUUUCUGGUUUGAAGUUCAAGAAUAGAUUAAUUCCCCUUUUAUCCAUGGUUGGGUUAGGCUAUAACUCUAAGGUUUGGGGUUCAAUUCUUCUCAAAUUUUUUUCCUAGAAGUUAUAUGGAUCAAACCUACUUUGUUUAAAUCCGUGUUUUUCAAAUAUGGUCAAAUUUUCAAAGUUUGAGAAGAAUGUCGUGUUUGCAUUUGAAAAUCAUGUGAACUUUAAGUGAGGUUUUUAUAAAUAUCAAAUCUUUGUUGAAAAAGGACUUAAGAUGGUGGAAUCUUUGAAUUUAAUAUUCCUAGCUUUUAACCAACAUGUAAGUACUUUAUUUCCCGGACAGAGUUCUUCAAAAGCGUUAGUAAUCUCGAAUAUGUUCCUCCCUCUGCACAUCCGCUUAUCAAAAAAGCCCUCGAGCGUGUCAGGAACAGACUUGUCCAUGCAAUCGACUCUUGCCCUCCUAAAAAUACAUCGCUCCUAAAGCUGAAACCAACAAUAAAAAAGAACAAAGAAGAAGACCAAAAAUCUAUAGGAAAAGAACAUACCUCCAUUAGGAUUAAAAAAAAGGAUCAAAUUGGCCAGGAAAUACAAACAAAGCUCCGAUGAACAAGAACCUUUAAGAACAAGAACAUGAUCCUUUUAGGUUUGCUUCUCCAUUUAUAGUCAUAGCUGAUUCGAACAAAAAUAAAGAAAUUGAACUGUAUUCUAUAAAUUUCAUUGUUCCAAGCACAAGCCUCAAUUGCAGAAGUUCGUGAAGCAAAUGUCUUAAAUCUUGGCUUAAACUUACAUGUUCUACCAAGCACAAGCGUCUGACUGUCUGGUCGUCCUUUAAAAAAUACUAAGAUUCUAAACAAGAAAUACAUGUAUUAUUCACUUCUUGAAUUUGUAAUUCAAAAGCAUUUAAUUUUUUAUUUUUAUUGUCUACGUCCAACCACAAGCCUCAACUCAUUGCAGAGGUUCAACAAGCAAUGCCUAAAACCUUCACCUCGGGCAUAAACGUACACCCCCAUGCAAACCUAGUUGGGCAUUCAGUGUUGGCAAAAACAGUAGCUGUUGUACCAACGAGAGCCUCCCGACAACUUUGUCAAUGCACGACAUAAGUACGGUAGUUCAACCAACAACUAGCGACAACAAAACCGAGUUCGGCACCACUACCAUGCUGUUAUCUAUGUAUUCACCUGAUUGCAGUUUUCAAAGCUGGAGGUCCAUAUACUUUCAAAUCCUUGGGGCGUGAGACUCGGGCAUAUGCUGUCAAGCUCAAGAAAGAAAAACUGUAACUAUCAAACGACUUCACAAGAAAUUCAAGCGUCAUCCUCCAUCUCUGUGUCUUCAUCUUGUCCCCCAUGCAAAGUCGUCCUCAUCAUCUUCCUUGACUUCCACUGCAAAGAUAACUCAACAGUUGGUGACUAAACGAAAGAAUGAAACGAAGCUUACGUCCAUGGCCGACUUUGCAAUCAUCACAUAUCCAGACCUCCUCGUUUCUGUAGCUUGUACAUCCCACGUGGUACCAACUGUUGCAGAAGCUGCAAAGCACUUCCUCCGGAGUCUUGUCUUUGCCACAUUGUCGACAAAACAUGUCCACUUUGCCUCUCAGUUCUUUGACCCGCUCAUCAAUAGAGCUCAACGCGUAGUGCAAAUCUCCGAAUAGCGUGAACACUUCCUCGUAGUCUGCUUCCUUAUCCUCAGGGACGUAAGCGGAUUCUUCAAGGUCGGAAAGAACCCAGACGAGAACCUUUCUUCUGGAAUCCCCUUCAAAGAUCUUUUCUGCGACUUCUUUGGUGUGACGAUGAAGCUUCACGGCAUCUUUAGCAACGCUUAUCUGGAAGACGAUGAGCACCUGCUGGUCGGCAUAAUACACAUCGGCUCCAAUGUGAUUGUAGUUCUGGUUCACAAAGAGCGUCGGACUUCUACUCACCUUUUUCAAGCUGACCAUGGAUCGCGUCAUCUUGUUAACGGGCACAACCUGGAGAUGGUGACUCAGUGUCACAUUGGCCCCUGUUAUGUCGACGUUGAGAAGCUUCAGGGCAAGUAUUGUGGCUUCCUCAGCGUUCCACCCAAUGGUGCACAUGUUCCUGCUUUCUGAGAUACCCUGCGUGAAGUAGCGAACUUCUGCUUCCAUGUCGCGGUCCUGCUUCCUGCUUAGCUCUUGAGCUAGCCAAACAUGAGCAAGCGUCUGCAAAUGCUGCGUCAGACAGUGACCUUUGCCAUCAGCACCGCGAUAGUAACACCUGGAGUCCAUGGCCUCGGAUAGAACAGAGAUGCGUCUCCCUGCAAUAGCCUUAAGGAGCUCGUUCCGAGUCCAUCGUCCAUCACUGUUGUUGACCGGCCUCCGGAUGACUUCAAGCAGCGACUUCUCAAGUCCCUUUACAUUCUCGCCCAACAGGUACUUGCUUGAAAGGCGCCCCUUCUUUAAAUGGAUCCAGUAAUCAACCAGCCAAGGCACUGUGCCAGUCAAUCUGUAGUCCAGCUCUUCAAAACUCAUGCCCUGACGUUUCAAGUAAACUCCGAGCUCCGUGAACUGUCGAAAAACAAAAUUGAGCUCAGCGUAAGUAAAGAAUGACACUUACGUUAAAUCCCCCCACGCAAGUGUGGAAUUCUACUUCAGGAGUUUUUGAAAUCUCUUUCCUCAAGGAGCUCCUCACAGAGGCACAGAUGACUGUGGUGCACUCGAGAGGGAUUUCAUCGAUAAAGUCGCGUGCAGCCAUCUUCUGAUUGCUUACAGACGGUGAAUCGUCCUUGCUCACAUCCAUCGCAUUUCCAUCGUCAAUGAAAAUGAAGAUUUUCUCCCCCCGUGUACGUAGGAAAUGAAGCAUCUUUGGGGCGUCCUCGUUCGCAGCUAUCAGUCGCUUGUGAACAGCCGGCUCGUGGAUAUAGGCCAAAACCAAGGCUUUGUAUACUGCUCGCACCGGAUCCUUCACGAAAUAGUUUCCAGCCAGAAGUAAGAACCGGCAUGUCGCAAGAUCUGGCAUCUUCGUUUCCCUCUUAGCAAGCUGGUUCGCUUCACCUUUGCUGGUAAUCUCUGGUUGCUUGCUGGUAAUGUUUGGUGGUAUCUCCUGUUCACCCGGUGCCCCCAUGUCUAGCGGAAUCACGCGAACGUCCAACAAGUUGCUGAUUGACAAGGCAAAGUUCUCGUUAGACAAUGCAUGUAGAGCUGCAAAACAAGAGGCCUUACCUUGGGACAUUGACGGUAACCUCUGGCUUGAUCUCUUCACUCUGUGGUAACCCUUCCGUUUCCUUGAGCUGUUUGGCCUUGAUUGCCAAGUGCGACUUGACAAGCAGAAAGCCCACUCCAGCACAAAUGCUGACAGUUUUGCCAAACCCGGGUGUCCCUGUGAUGUACUUAGGUUUCGCAAAGGGCAGCCGCAGCCUGGGAUGAUCAUCCCUGUCGCUAAGAAAUACGAAAUCUAUGAGAUCCUUCGUCACCUGUCGACCCAUGUAAUCAAACUCUCCCAAAUUUCUACUCAUGUCCGGAGCCAACAGCCGGCACCACGUUUCGUUGCUCGUUAAGCUCUCCAUUGUCAGAUGCCCAAAACAUUCCUCCAAUCUCACGGAGAAUGCCCAAGCUUCCUCGAACUCAUCCAUGACCUUCCUUCUUUUCUCUGUAACCACAGAUGGGAACUGUGCGAAACGCUUACCGCUUCCGCUGAGCUCCGCCAUAGCUUUAGGUUUAGAAAACAUGA
rnacentral:lncRNA from 1 species